GCUCGCAGCACACGCUCCUGCCUUCACAGCUCAGCCACUCGCACCGGGGAAAGUUGGAGUCAAGUGCAGCCUCUGGAGUCUCCCACACGCUCAGGAGCUGUGAGAAAGCAGCGCCUUUCCCAGGUUGUCCUCAGGAGGUGGCAAAGCUCUGUCCCUGCUGGAGCACUGCUGGCCACUGUCACCAACCAGACAUGCAGAGGGCAUGAGAGCCCACAGGACCUGACCCAGGGGUCACUCAGAGGAAAGGAGAAGGCAAGAAAGGAAAAGAAGCAGUUGAGAUCCAUCAGCAGCUGCCACAGGGCAUCAGCUCCAGCACUGAGCUCCCAGAGGGGGGAGCAGGCACAAAUGAGUUGCAGUGCCACAUCUCUUCUAGACCAUGUCAUUCCCAGCACACAAGGCUGAACAUGUAAAGUGACUUUGCAAUGUUCUCCAAGGUCACUGUAGAACAAGGGUCACUUUGGGAAGGGCUCUAGGCCUGCCUGGUACGGGCUCACUCCAAGCAGCUUUGGAGCUGAUGAGAGCAGGACUGCUCCAUCCUUGCAGUGACACCAUGGAUCCAUGUUACAACCACACAAGCUCUCAAAAUAGGAUGGAUUUUCCCCUGCAGCUGCUGGUCGGGUUCUGCCUCGUCAUCCUCAUCACGAUCACCCUCUGUGGCAACAUCAUCGUCUGCCUGGCCGUCACCUUCGACCGCCGGCUCCGGAGCUUGACAAACUGCAUCAUUGUCUCCUUGGCCAUCACAGAUCUGCUGCUGGGGCUUCUGGUGCUGCCAUUCUCUGCUUUCUAUGAACUCAACAAGGAGUGGACCUUUGGCAGCGUUUUGUGCAACAUCUACAUCAGCCUGGACGUCAUGUUGUGCACGGCCUCCAUCCUCAACCUCUUCAUGAUCAGCCUGGACCGUUACUUCGCUGUCACCAGCCCGCUCCGCUACUGCCAGGUGGUCACUCCCUCCCGGGUGGCCGUGGGUUUGGUUGUUAUUUGGACCGUUUCGCUGAUGGUUUCCUUCCUACCCAUCUACCUGGGCUGGAACACCAACGGGACAGCAGUGCAAAACACAGGCCCCACCUGCAACAAGGAGUGCACGCUGGCGGUGAACCCCGUGUACGGGUUAGUGGACGCCUUGCUCACCUUCUACAUCCCUUUGGUCAUCAUGUGCAUCACCUACUACCGCAUACUCAAGAUAGCGAGGGAGCAGGCCAAGAGGAUAAACCACACGUGGGGCAACACGCCCAUGCCACCCAUGGUGAAGGAGCACAAAGCCACCAUGACGCUGGCAGUGGUGCUGGGAGCGUUCAUCGUCUGCUGGUUCCCCUAUUUCACCGUGUUCACCUACCGGGGGGUGUGGGGGGACAGCAGGGUCAAAGGCACACCCAUGUCCAUUGUUCUCUGGCUGGGCUAUGCCAACUCAGCCCUGAACCCCAUCCUCUACGGGACGCUCAACAGGGAUUUCCGAGUGGCAUACCAGCACUUGCUGCAGUGCUGGAGGACGGGACACCCCAGGAACUCCCACCUGCCUCCCCUCCAGAAUGCCCAGCCCAGGGGCAGGCAGGGCCAGGGCAGGCAGGAGGGUAAACCUUUGAAACUGGAAGUGAGGAACAAGAAGGGGACCCUGCUCACCGAUGGAGCCCUCAAGAGCACUGGAGCUUUUCUGUGAGUCUCAGCCAGCCCGCUGCCCUAGGACCCGCAUCUCCCAGCCUUUAACUCCUGGCUGCCCUCUUCCAAAAUCCUGUGUGUGAAGUUGAAAGGACAACACUCAGCUUUCCUCAGCGCAAAACUCAGCAGCAGAAGCGAGAUCUGCAGGGAUCCUUGCUCUGGCAUGUGGCAUUCGCUCCAUCCCCAAGCACUGCUGGAGAGGCCUCUGCCCACCCAGGUUUCUUCCCAGGAGGGUGGUGUGUUAGAAGAGCCCUCAGAGGAGCUGCAGAAGAACAUCUCCCCUGGCCUGUCUGAGCCGUGACACUUUCAGCAUCAAGCCCCACACGAGCAGGAAGAGAUGCCUGAGGAGCUGGGCUGGGAGGCAGGGCUGGGAGUGCCCUCUCCAGACCCAUGGCACAGGGUAGAGGGGAAAAGGGACUGAUGUUGAGGUCUUGGUGCCAGGCAGACCAGCCUAGGAUGGAGAAAAGCAGAACAGGCACUACCUUCCCUGGUGUCCUCGGGAUGUAUCCACCCAUCAGAGGGGGCAAGGGCCUGGUAGAUGGGGGUGAAGUGGCAGGAGGGCUCAGAGUGGUGGAAGUUGGCAACCACAAGUGCCGGAUAUCUGGGCACAGGACAUCCCAGUCCCUCAGCACGCAUGCUGUGCAUGGCUGCCUCCCAUUCCUGGGGCUGUCCUUACACCAAAUCACCUGUCCCAGCCCUAGUGCAAGGCAGAGAGAAGCCCUGGAGCCUGCUGGGCCAUGGGGAGACACUCAGCAGCCAGGGUUUGCCCCAGGCUCUGCCCUCCCCAGCAGCUCAACAGUAAGGCUCCCAAAAGAGGAUGUUUCUUCCCUGAGUGUAUGCAGAAAUCAUCAGUGGUAUAAAAAUCUAUUUAAGACAGAAGGAAAAUGAGAUAUUUUAUUUUUGUGGGUGUGUGUGCUUUGUCCUGGGAGGAGCCUCCCUGCCCUGCUCCACCCUGCUGUCCCAUGCCCAUCCCUCUGCCAGGACAGAACCUGGACACCAGCACAAACACCCAAGACACAGGCACAGCUGCCCUGGGCAAGGCUGGCACCCCCCAGAGCACAUCUUACCCUGUGGCACCAACCAGCUGGUCCCUCCGUGGUCCCUCAGCUGAUGGAGCAGGGGACACCUUUGCCAUCCCCCAGGAGGCCCCAGCUCAGGGGUCCCCCUGCUUGCUGCAGGCACAGCCUGGCCCCAAGCUCCAGCCACACCGUGGGUAUCACCCACUGUCACCAUCACCCAUGGCAGGGCUGGGCUCCCUGACCUGGCACAGCACACCCCACUCACUCCCAAAACUCCUCAACACCCCCUGAGCCACCACAGCACUGAUUGUCAGCAUCUGCCACCGGUCCCACUGUGGGGUUCACCCUGCCACCGCUAAUUACAGAGAGCAAUUAUCACCCAAAGAGCGAGAAAAGCUGAGAGAGGGGAGUGCUGCAGCCCCAGUGCCUCCCAGCACCAGCCAGACACCGGUGGGCAAGGAAACAUCCCCAGCAAGGUGAUGCCCUGGCAGGGGAGGUCCCCUCAUGGGAUAAGGAGCUAUGAAGCUCCUGGGCCAAGCCCACCAGAGCAGACUGAGAAGUUGCCUCAGCAGCAGCUUUACAGAGCAGCAGGAGCUGAAUCCCUGCAGAGGAGCACACGGAGCUCUCGUCUUCCCCAAACAAAGCCGGCAGGAGCAGGCCGGAAUCGCCUGCAGCAUCCACGCUCUGCUCCAGCUCAGAGGAGAACUGGCAAACACACACCCAAACCCCUGCCACCUAUGAUAACAAUUAGAGACUUAUCUAAUUGCAAAAAUAAUUGCAAUUGAAGUGUUUAAUUACCAUACUAAGCAGGAAGAGCAGUUUCCUACUGUUCCAGUAGCACUCCCGAUCCAUCAAACAAGGUUUGGGGCUUGUUUGGGUGCUGGGUUUUUUUAGGUUUUUUUUGGUUUUCUUUUUUUGAUUAUUAGAUUGCAGCCCCAGGGGAUGAAGAGAUUUGCUAAUUAGGGUCUUGGAGAACAGCUACCAAUUCACAAGCACUUGCUUUUAAUUUCAAUACUAACGAGGCUGGAAGGGGGAGAAAUCCAAAAUGCAGAACAUCUGUGGCAGUGCUGGCUGCAGCAGCGCUGCCCCCAGCCCCUCCUCGCUGGGCUGGCACUGCUCAGGGACCAUCCCAGAGACCGCAGGGAUGGGCUGGGGGGUGCAAGCACUCCCCACAGAUGGGAUGGCCAGUGCAAGCAUGAGCAGGGUGGAGCUGCUGCUCCGGGUCGCUGCUGUCACCGCAGCCACCCCACAAACUAAUCCCAGCAUCGAUCAUCUGUCUAAUCCCAUCAGGGACCAUCAGCUUUCUCAGUGAUGGGCUAAUCCUGGUCCUGAGGCAGCCGUUCCAUCCCCUGGGGGUGCAGCAGCAAGAAUUUCUCCAGGUGACAUUCGGUUUUGUUCUCCUCUAAACUGACAACAAAAGAGAAUUUAAUUCUCUCGCCAAGCAGCAAUUCUGUGAGGGAAAAGAAACUGCUUAGGAAGCUCCUAACCAACAUCUGCUCUCUCAGAUAGGAAAUAUCCCCUGCUAGUGGAGGGAGCACAGGCAGGGCUGGCUGCCAAGUGCAUGGGGACACCCCCAUCCCCCUGUCCCUGCAGGGGACACAGGAGCUCACACUGCCCUGUGUGCGACACCCAAUCCUCACCUUGCUCCACCAAACCACCCAGGGACUUCUUCCACCAAACCACCUUUCACAUCCUUGCCACAGCUCUGGGAAGGAUCCAAAAAUCUGCAGAGAGGAGACACAGGGAAGGAGAGAAGUGCUCGGGAGGCAGGAGCAGCUGCAGGGCAUCCAGGCGUCCUGUCCCCCAGGAGCGCAGCUGAGACGUGGUGGCUGCCACGGGCCGGAGG